rnacentral:sRNA from 1 species
CCUGCCGCCGGACGGAACGGGCAGCGAGGGUUGGGGAACCCAACGACCUGCCGGGUUCCGAGAGUCGGGAGGGUCUUAGGGAGCCCCCCUGGUUCGGUCCGACGAAGGAG